rnacentral:rRNA from 1 species
UUAGAAGCAGCCACUCAUUCAAAGAGUGCGUAAUAGCUCACUGGUCGAGUGAUCCUGCGCCGAAGAUUUCCGGGGCUAAAACUUACUACCGAAGCUACGGCAUCAUUAUGAUGGGUAGGGGAGCUUCACAUACGGGUUGAAGCAUGACCGUAAGGACAUGUGGACAGUAUGGGAGUGAGAAUGUUGGCAUGAGUAGCGAGAUGU